ACUGGGCAUGGUGGUGCAUGCCUGUAGUCCCAGCUACUUGGGAGGCUGAGGCGGGAGGAUCGAUUGAGCCCAGGAUUUUGAGGCUGCAGUGAGCUAUGAUUGCACCACUGCAUUCCAGCUUGGGCAACAGAGCAAGACCCUGUCUCAA
rnacentral:SRP_RNA from 1 species